rnacentral:snRNA from 1 species
GUGCUCGCUCUGGCAGCACACAUACUAAAAUUGGAACAAUACAGAAAGAUUAGCAUGGCUCCUGAGCAAGGAUGACACCCAAAUUCGUGAAGCAUUCCACAUUUUU